AGGUUGGUGCCGCAGAGGCAAUAUCGUAACCAAUGAGGUUAAUCCGAGGUGCGAUUAUUGCUAGUUGAAAACUUUACGACACCGUCGCUAGCCUCUCGCCGACAAUGCU